UACGGAGGAUGCAAGCGUUAUCCGGAAUGAUUGGGCGUAAAGCGUCCGCAGGUGGCAAUGUGAGUCUGCUGUCAAAGCGUCUGGCUCAACCAGAUAAAGGCAGUGGAAACUACAUAGCUAGAGUAAGGUAGGGGUAGAGGGAAUUCCUGGUGUAGCGGUGAAAUGCGUAGAGAUCAGGAAGAACACCGGUGGCGAAAGCGCUCUGCUGGACCUUAACUGACACUGAGGGACGAAAGCUAGGGGAGCGAAUGGG
rnacentral:rRNA from 1 species